rnacentral:rRNA from 1 species
UGGCGGACGGGUGAGUAACGCGUGGAAAACCUGCCGUAUACUGGGGGAUAACACUUAGAAAUAGGUGCUAAUACCGCAUAAGCGCACAGCUUCGCAUGAAGCGGUGUGAAAAACUCUGGUGGUAUACGAUGGUUCCGCGUCUGAUUAGCUAGUUGGUGGGGUAAUGGCCUACCAAGGCAACGAUCAGCAGCCGGCCUGAGAGGGUGAACGGCCACAUUGGGACUGAGACACGGCCCAAACUCCUACGGGAGGCAGCAG